UACGUAGGUGGCAAGCGUUGUCCGGAAUUAUUGGGCGUAAAGCGCGCGCAGGCGGUCCUUUAAGUCUGAUGUGAAAGCCCACGGCUCAACCGUGGAGGGUCAUUGGAAACUGGGGGACUUGAGUGCAGGAGAGAAGAGUGGAAUUCCACGUGUAGCGGUGAAAUGCGUAGAGAUGUGGAGGAACACCAGUGGCGAAGGCGAGUCCCUGGACAACACCUGACACUGAGGCACGAAAGCUAGGGGAGCAAACAGG
rnacentral:rRNA from 1 species